UUGGCAGUAAGAUGCACUUGCACAAGCAUCAGAAGCUGAAGGCGAGAGAAAGCCCUUCUCUGAAUUGGCCUGGGCAGAUGCGUGGUAGACGGUGGCUUUCAAACAAGCUCCUGCACGCUGUCUGCUUUCUGCUCUGGUGCUGCAGGCAAUUGAAAUGAUCUCCAUGCCUUCUCUGCAAUCCUGGCACUUCCUGAUUCUGUGGGGUCUGACAGUGACUUCCCUGAUCUUCCCUAAUGCAGCCCUUCCGUCCAUUAUGAAUGCCUCUAAAUCCCUUGUAUUAAAACCCCGUGUAUUUGGAAUAUCUAGAGCAGCUUCCAGUAUUAUAACCAAACCCUGACCGACACGCUGGCAUAGAUAAAGAAGCUACGUAAAAUGAUGUGUGGGGAAACAUCCUGUUCAAUCUUCCCGGCAGUGCUGAGGUUAGGCUGUCAUUUUCCCAGUUUCAUAGAUUAGAAGCCUGAGGCUAAAGAGGUCAAGGUUGCCUGACUCCCAAGUCAUUCUCUUUCUACUAGAUCAUUCUACUCUGCUUCUCUUGAUAGAUAGGGAGAAGCAGGCAUAAGAGGGAAAGAGAAAAGCAGCAGGGGAGGACAUGACAGAGAUGGACAAAGGAAGAGGCAAGGAGAGACUCAUUUGAAGUAGAAAGGGAGAGAGAGAAACCCCAAGGGUUCUGGAAAGUUGGAGAAACUUCUCAUCACCUCUACUCAGACGGUGCUUUACAAGGUUACCCUUGCUCUUGGGCAAUAGCAAUUAGCCAAGUAACCACCGUUCACAGCCCUUUGCCUGUUCUUUAUUCUCAGGCUUUUGAGACUGCAGUGUGAACAGAAGACACAACAACCCACGGAGUGAAGAAUUCUCUGGGCUGCCCCAGCAAUGCAGAGCAGUGUUCCCCUGGAGGGUGGAUGAACUCAGGCAGAGGGGCAGCCCCAGCCCUGGGCUCAGGGGGAAUGGGAAUCAGGUUUGCCCUUGCACCCCAGGGUAGCUGGUGAAGGCUGUCUUGGAUAAUCUUCGGCCUCUCCCUUCCAGACUCUUCUUUAAGCAUCCCCAUCCCACCUUGGUAUCCUAGUCCCUCUGCUACUCCCGUGCUUGCCUUCCUGGGACAGUGAUAGUUGCAGUUCCUGCUGACUUGGAGUGCCCCUCCGCUCUGUGUCCUGUGAGAAAGCGGAUGAUUCCAAUGUACAGCCAAUGAUGAGCAGCUGCUGGGCUGAAGGGACUGGGGCCAUUUUAUACCAGUUGUAGGAUGUUACACAGAAAUGCCUGAAAAGCAAGGAGCAGCUAUCAGAAUGUUUGGUGACACAGCUCCUCCUGUCGUGGUUCCUUCGGCAUGGACUUCACAUUCAGCAGAUCCAUGAGGUGUUCCCUUUCGGAUGAGCUCCAAGGUCUUAAGAGAGCAUCUCUAGUCUGCGUGAGUCCGUCUGAACGACGGUCCUGAGCAAGAACCACCUAUAACCAUCUGCUCAAAAUAACUCAGGGGAAGUCAAAGCUUUCUAUGUGGAAGGUGACUGAAACCACAUACACAGACCACUGCAGCAUUCCUGACAUUAUGGAACUUGGAAAUGAUUCCAAACAUGGCCAUAGCUUGAGUAACAUGUUUUGCUAUGACAAGAACUUGGACUGUAGUCCUUCCCCCUCUCAAGAAUGUGACAUCACACCUUAUCAGAUCCUACGAGUGAGCUACUGACCUCAACCACUGAACUUCAAACUAUGUAAAAACCUAAGGGUUCGACAGACACUUUGAGAGCUUGGGCUGUGGCAAGCUACACUCUGUCAGCCUCUCUUCGACAGGGCCCCACCCUGCUAGCCUUUGAACUUGGAAGCAUCGCCCACAAACACCAGUGCCACCCUCUAGCCUUGAGGGACCAUAUAUGUCUCUGUGAAUCUCCGUUGCAUUGGACAGCUUCUCUCCCAAGAGCUGCUCUUAUAAAAGAGACACACCACAUUUUAAUGAGGCUUCGCUCUCCACAGAGGCCUGCUUCCAUCCUAAUUGAGCAAGUAGACUUUAGUAACUUUGGAACUCACUCACCCCGUGACUAAUACACCCUGUCUACCCAGCGCAUUCCCUGUGAGAUUUGUUCAUGUUGUUCUCCCCCUCCUUAAGCAUUGUGAACCUAGGAAAAAUAUCAUCUCUGUAGGGCAAUAAACCAUGUGAUUUGUGAAAUC
rnacentral:lncRNA from 10 species